GAAUUUUCUGUUUCUGUAACCCCAUUGAUUGCCAAGGUUGGUUUGGCUGAUCUGGCUGGCUAGGCGGGUAUCCUCUUCCUCCCUCUCUGUUCCAUGCCCACCCCUCCUGAACCUUCAUACUCCGUUGAAGAGGACUAUCUUCCCAGAAUACAGGAGUACCUUCUUCGCUCAGGGGUAUAUGAGUUGCUGCGUCCUCUGCUAGAACCUUCAAAGAAGCAAUCAAGUUCCAUAUUCAUCAAAUUGAAACUUAUCUUCUGUCUAUGUACACAAAAUAUUUGUUUUUUUU
rfam:Rattus norvegicus chromosome 2, whole genome shotgun sequence.